rnacentral:rRNA from 1 species
GGGCCCGCACAAGCGGUGGAGCAUGUGGUUUAAUUCGAUGCAACGCGAAGAACCUUACCAAGGCUUGACAUACUACAGAUUUCUUUGAAAAAGGAAAGUGCCUUCGGGAAUGUAGAUACAGGUGGUGCAUGGCUGUCGUCAGCUCGUGUCGUGAGAUGUUGGGUUAAGUCCCGCAACGAGCGCAACCCUUAUUUUUAGUUGCUAAUUUAGUUUAGGUUUCUAGAAAGACUGCCGGUGACAAACCGGAGGAAGGUGAGGAUGACGUCAAGUCAGCAUGCCCCUUAUGCCUUGGGCUACACACGUGCUACAAUGGUUAAGACAAAGAGUUGCGAGCUCGUGAGAGUCAGCUAAUCUCAUAAACUUAGCCUAAGUUCGGAUUGUAGGCUGCAACUCGCCUGCAUGAAGUCGGAAUCGCUAGUAA